rnacentral:rRNA from 1 species
CGUAAGCGCACGCAGGCGGUCUGUCAGUCGGAUGUGAAUCCCCGGGCUCACCUGGGAACUGCAUUCGAACUGGCAGGCUGGAGUCUUGUAGAGGGGGGUAGAAUUCCAGGUGUAGCGGUGAAAUGCGUAGAGAUCUGGAGGAAUACCGGUGGCGAAGGCGGCCCCCUGGACAAAGACUGACGCUCAGGUGCGAAAGCGUGGGGAGCAAACAGGAUUAGAUACCCUGGUAGUCCACGCUGUAAACGAUGUCGACUUGGAGGUUGUUCCCUUGAGGAGUGGCUUCCGGAGCUAACGCGUUAAGUCGACCGCCUGGGGAGUACGGCCGCAAGGUUAAAACUCAAAGGAAUUGACGGG